rnacentral:tRNA from 1 species
GGGAAUGUAGCUCAACAGGGAGAGCAUCCGGCUUAUAUCCGGAAGGCAGCAGGUUCGAGCCCUGCCAUUCCUA